GACGAACGCUGGCGGCGUGCUUAACACAUGCAAGUCGAACGAUGAAGCUGGAGCUUGCUCCGGUGGAUUAGUGGCGAACGGGUGAGUAACACGUGAGCAAUCUGCCCUUGACUCUGGAAUAACUGCGGGAAACUGUAGCUAAUACCGGAUACGACACCUUGGGGCAUCCCGGGGUGUGGAAAGAAUUUCGGUCAAGGAUGAGCUCGCGGCCUAUCAGCUUGUUGGUGAGGUAAAGGCUCACCAAGGCGACGACGGGUAGCCGGCCUGAGAGGGUGACCGGCCACACUGGUACUGAGACACGGUCCAGACUCCUACGGGAGGCAGCAGUGGGGAAUAUUGCACAAUGGGCGAAAGCCUGAUGCAGCAACGCCGCGUGAGGGAUGACGGCCUUCGGGUUGUAAACCUCUUUUAGCAGGGAAGAAGCGAAAGUGACGGUACCUGCAGAAAAAGCACCGGCUAACUACGUGCCAGCCGCCGCGGUAA
rnacentral:rRNA from 1 species